rnacentral:rRNA from 1 species
GAGUUUGAUCCUGGCUCAGAUUGAACGCUGGCGGCAUGCCUUACACAUGCAAGUCGAACGGCAGCAUGAUCUAGCUUGCUAGAUUGAUGGCGAGUGGCGAACGGGUGAGUAAUACAUCGGAACGUGCCCUGUAGUGGGGGAUAACUAGUCGAAAGAUUAGCUAAUACCGCAUACGACCUGAGGGUGAAAGUGGGGGACCGCAAGGCCUCAUGCUAUAGGAGCGGCCGAUGUCUGAUUAGCUAGUUGGUGGGGUAAAGGCCCACCAAGGCGACGAUCAGUAGCUGGUCUGAGAGGACGAUCAGCCACACUGGGACUGAGACACGGCCCAGACUCCUACGGGAGGCAGCAGGUGGGGAAUUUUGGACAAUGGGCGAAAGCCUGAUCCAACAAUGCCGCGUGUGUGAGAAGGCCUCGG